AUUGAACGCUGGCGGCAGGCCUAACACAUGCAAGUCGAACGAGUGGCGGAAGGGUGAGUAAGGUCUGGGAAACUGCCUGAGGGAGGGGGAUAACUACUGGAAACGGUAGCUAAUACCGCAUAACAUCAGAUGUGCCCAGUUGGGAUUAGCUAGGUGGUGGGGUAAAGGAUCACCAAGGCGCCGAUCCAUAGCUGGUAGGAGAGGAUGACCAGCCACACUGGAACUGAGACACGGUCCAGACUCCUACGGGAGGCAGCAGUGGGGAAUAUUGCACAAUGGGCGCAAGCCUGAUACAGCCAGGCCGCGUGUAUGAAGAAGGCCUUCGGGUUGUAAAGUACUUUCAGCGGGGAGGCGUUACCCGCAGAAGAAGCACCGGCUAACUCCGUGCCAGCAGCCGCGGUAAUAC
rnacentral:rRNA from 1 species